UCACUUUUGGAUGGUCCCGCGGCGUAUUAGCUAGAUGGUGGGGUAACGGCUCACCAUGGCAAUGAUACUUAGCCGACCUGAGAGGGUAAUCGGCCUCAUUGGGACUGAGACACGGCCCAAACUCCUACGGGAGGCAGCAGUAGGGAAUCUUCCACAAUGGACGAAAGUCUGAUGGAGCAACGCCGCGUGAGUGAAGAAGGGUUUCGGCUCGUAAAACUCUGUUGUUAAAGAAGAACAUAUCUGAGAGUAACUGUUCAGGUAUUGACGGUAUUUAACCAGAAAGCCACGGCUAACUACGUGCCAGCAGCCGCGGUAAUACGUAGGUGGCAAGCGUUGUCCGGAUUUAUUGGGCGUAAAGCGAGCGCAGGCGGUUUUUUAAGUCUGAUGUGAAAGCCUUCGGCUCAACCGAAGAAGUGCAUCGGAAACUGGGAAACUUGAGUGCAGAAGAGGACAGUGGAACUCCAUGUGUAGCGGCGAAAUGCGCAGAUAU
rnacentral:rRNA from 1 species